UACGGAGGGUGCAAGCGUUGUCCGGAAUCACUGGGCGUAAAGCGCACGUAGGCGGUCUGUUAUGUCGGAUGUGAAAGCCCUUGGCUCAACUGAGGAAGUGCAUCCGAAACUGGCAGGCUAGAGUACGAAAGAGGAUCGCGGAAUUCCCGGUGUAGAGGUGAAAUUCGUAGAUAUCGGGAGGAACACCGGUGGCGAAGGCGGGUCUCUGGGCCAUUACUGACGCUGAGGAGCGAAAGCGUGGGGAGCGAACAGG
rnacentral:rRNA from 1 species